rnacentral:misc_RNA from 1 species
AACCUAGCACACCUGCGGUGUGUACCUGCGGAAGGAUCAUUAUAGAGUUUUCUAAACUCCCAAACCCAUGUGAACUUACCAUUGUUGCCUCGGCAGAACCUACCCGGUACCUACCCUGGAACGAGCUACCCUGUAGCUACCCAGGAACGGGCUACCCUGUAACGUCCUGCCGGUGGACUUCUAAACUCUUGUUAUUUAUAGUAAUCUGAGCGUCUUAUUUUAAUAAGUCAAAACUUUUAA